AUCAACCAUCAAGCUCUGCUUAGUAUUGGGCGUCGUCCUCCUCGGGGGACGUGCCUUAAUUGCCUCGGCGGCGGUUCAUAACCUCAAGCGUAGUAGAAUCAUUUAUUUAGCUUUCUAGGUUUUGGGCCGCUAUCGCCUCGAGAACACCAUAUAACCUCAAGGUUGACCUCGGAUCAGGUAGGGAUACCCGCUGAACUUAA
rnacentral:misc_RNA from 1 species